UACGGAGGGUGCAAGCGUUAUCCGGAAUCACUGGGUUUAAAGGGUACGUAGGCGGUCUAAUAAGUCAGGUGUGAAAUACCGCGGCCUAACUGCGGAACUGCACUUGAUACUGUUAGACUUGAGUAGGGUGGAGGUACACGGAAUGCAUCAUGUAGCGGUGAAAUGCUUAGAUAUGAUGUAGAACACCGAAUAGCGAAGGCAGUGUGCCAUACCUAUACUGACGCUGAGGUACGAAAGCGUGGGGAGCAAACAGG
rnacentral:rRNA from 1 species